rnacentral:rRNA from 1 species
GAUGAACGCUAGCGACAGGCCUAACACAUGCAAGUCGAGGGGCAGCGCGGAGCAAGCUUGCUUGUUCUGGCGGCGACCGGCGCACGGGUGCGUAACAGGUGUGCAAUCUGUCCAUAAUCGGGGAAUAGCCCAGCGAAAGUUGGAUUAAUGCUCCAUGUGAGUUUUAGAGGCAUCUCUUUAAUUUGAAACGUAAGGAUUAUGGGUGAGCACGCUUCUGAUUAGGUAGUGGGUGAGGUAACGGCUCACCAAGCCGACGAUCAGUAGGGGUUCUGAGAGGAAGGUCCCCCACAUUGGAACUGAGACACGGUCCAAACUCCUACGGGAGGCAGCAGUGAGGAAUAUUGGUCAAUGGGCGAAAGUCUGAACCAGCCAAGUCGCGUGAAGGAUGAAGGUUCUAUGGAUUGUAAACUUCUUUUGUCUGAGGGUAAAAAAGCGGACGUGUCCGUUCUUGCAAGUAUCAGACGAAUAAGCAUCGGCUAACUCCGUGCCAGCCGCCGCCGUAAUAC